CCGCCGCGGUGCAUUGUGGGACUGGGGGAGGACUGAACUGCGUGAUGGGGUGGGAGAUCCGGGCCUGGAGGAGGGCGGACGGCCCCGAAUUGCUGCGGAUGUUGCGGGAAUGGGCGGAACUGGAGGGGGGGCCCAGGCCUUCGUGUGAGGAGGGUGAGGGCCCCGAAGCACGUGACCCCGCCGAGACCUAUGACCUUUGACCCCCCCCCUCCUCGUGACCCUCACCGUGGGAACCCCACCUCUGCUCGCCGCCCUCCAUGGCGCCGCCCCCCCCCCCGUGCUGCUGGUAGCCGAGCGCUCAGGGCCCCCCCUGGGGGGUUUUGCUGUGGCUUCGUGGGGCUUCAGCACCUGGAGGGGCCGCGACCUGCGCGUGGGGGAGCUGUGGGUGCCGCCCGCGCUCAGAGACCAAGGGCUGCAGGAGCUGCUGCUGCGUGGGGUGGCCCAGGUCGCCGUGGCUGCAGGCUGCGCUCAGCUGAGAGUGGAGGUGGGGGGGGAGGGGGCGCCUUUGGACCCCCCCUCUUUUGGGGCCGUCGAUUUGGGGUCCAGCGAGGGCUGGUUGGGGGUCAGCUUCCAGGGGGCGGCGCUGCAGGAGCUGGCGGGAGCCCCCCCCC